UUUCAACAAUCAUGAAGAAUGUUGAGUUAUUAAACCCUCCUAAAUGUGUAAGAGGAAUUACGGAUAUAAACGGUGAAUUAUUUAGGAAAGAAAUCGAUGUUCCAGUAGUCCAUGUGAAAAAUGUCAAACUUUCAGACGUGAUUAGUGUACUGAAACGGUAUUUAUUAAAAAUCGAUCAAUUUAAACCUAUAAAAAACGUAUCAGAUAAUGAGGCUAUUAUCUAUAUGAAUCCUUGCUUGAUUAACAUAGAAAAUUUACCAGAUGAAUUGCAAAACAAAUUUCAGACACUAGGAUUAGAUAAAGAUAAUGUAAAAAUGGAAAAAAUAGAAUUAAAAUAUGAGAACUAUACUACUGAGCAAGUUUUUAGAGCAGUUUUGCCUGAAGAUAAAGAAGGAGUAGCAAGUUUCACAAAAGUUGGACACAUUGUUCAUAUUAAUCUAAGAGAACAUUUGUUGCCAUUUAAAAAACUCAUUGGAACAGUUUUAUAUGAUAAAACUCCAGGCUGUAAGACUGUUGUAAACAAGAUAAAUAUUAUCGAUAACACAUACAGAAAUUUCAAAAUGGAAAUAUUAAAAGGAGAAGAUGACAUGAUGGUUACAAUAAAAGAAAAUACAUGUAUAUUUCAAUUUGAUUUUUCUACUGUUUAUUGGAAUUCAAGACUUAGUACAGAGCAUGAACGAAUAGUAAAAAUCAUUAAGGCAAAUGAUGUUUUGUUUGAUGUUUUUGCUGGUGUGGGACCAUUUGCAGUACCAGCAGCUAAGAAGAAUUGUGAAGUAUAUGCAAAUGAUUUAAAUCCAGAAUCGUAUAAAUGGUUAAAUCAUAAUUUUAAAAAUAACAAAAUAAAAAAUGAAAAAUUCAAAACUUACAAUAAAGAUGGUAGAGAAUUUAUUUUAACAGAAAUCAAAAAUAAUUUGCCUAAAUUUUUGAAAGCACAUAAUGUUCAUAUAACUAUGAACUUGCCUGCAUUAGCUGUGGAGUUUUUGGGGAGCUUUGUUGGCUUACUUCCUGAUUAUGAUUUUAAUGAAUCAUUUAUACCUCCAACAAUAUAUUUGUAUUGUUUUGUAAAAGGAGAAGAUUGCAAUAAACUGGCCAAAGAUCUUGUCAUAAGUCAUUUAGGAUGUGAUAAAAUAAUUAACAUAUUUAAAGUUCGAACAGUUAGUAACUUUAAGGAAAUGAUGAGAGUUACAAUUUCUCUGGAUAAAGAUGUGCUGACUGGAGAUUUCUUAAGGAAAAGGAAAAUAAAUGACCAAGACAUAACUGUAUCAAAAAAAUGUAACUAUGGGAAAGAACAAGAAACAGAACAAUGUAUUUAAAGUGGCAGGAGCUAAAAGCCUGAAACUAAAGGCAAAGGCUAAAGCAGUAAAGACAGAUUUGAAAAAUAUCAACAAACAAAAUAAGGAUAAACUUCAAGAAAUUGACAAUCAGUUAGUGAAGCUGCAAGAUAAGAUCAGAAGCAAUCCAUCUUCAUCAAAAAAUAAGGACAUUGUAAAAAAAAAGUUACCAGUGAAAAAUGUAUCAAACACACAAAAUAGUUCAAAUGAAGCUCUUGAAAGUUUAAGUACCAUGCAAGUCAGUUAAAAUUGUUUCAAUUAAUUAAAAAUGUAACAUAUAUAAAUAUUCAUGU